rnacentral:rRNA from 1 species
AUUGAACGCUGGCGGCAGGCCUAACACAUGCAAGUCGAACGGUAACAGGAAGAAGCUUGCUUCUUUGCUGGCGAGUGGCGGACGGGUGAGUAAUGUCUGGGAAACUUCCUGAUGGAGGGGGAUAACUACUGGAAACGGUAGCUAAUACCGCAUAACGUCGCAAGACCAAAAAGGGGGACCUUCGGGCCUCUUGCCAUCGGAUGUGCCCAGAUGGGAUUAGCUAGUAGGUGGGGUAACGGCUCACCUAGGCGACGAUCCCUAGCUGGUCUGAGAGGAUGACCAGCCACACUGGAACUGAGACACGGUCCAGACUCCUACGGGAGGCAGCAGUGGGGAAUAUUGCACAAUGGGCGCAAGCCUGAUGCAGCCAUGCCGCGUGUAUGAAGAAGGCCUUCGGGUUGUAAAGUACUUUCAGCGGGGAGGAAGGGAGUAAAGUUAAUACCUUUGCUCAUUGACGUUACCCGCAGAAGAAGCACCGGCUAACUCCGUG